GUUGUCUUGGUGUUUUAUCACGGGAAACAUUGGAGUCACUGGGAAUCUAGCAGACUGCAGACUGGUGGCCAGGAGCUGCUACCUCAGGCAGGGAGGGUGGAGAGGCAUGGGGCCUCUCCUGUCUGAGGCUACCACAUGAGGCAAGGACUUCUCUGGACCUGGAGGAGGACCGGAUUCAGAAGCCAGGAUGCCAUAGUGGGGUAGACUUCUGCCUGGGCCAUGCUGGCUCUGUGAAGAGAUUUUUUUUUUUUCCCUGUGCCAAGCAUGGUCGGCCUUUUGACACUUGCCAAGACAUUCAAAGUUCACGAUGAGAACUAUGCAAUGGAGUUACCAAAAAAAAAAAAUUUUUUUUUCCCCAAAACCUAUCUUUCUCAUAUUUUGGAGUUCUGACCCGAGCUGCUGACCCAGAAGACGAAAUGAGAAGAUAGAUAGACUGGAAAGUUCAUUCCGGCUUAAUCCCGGUGGAAUUUCAUCAGAGCUCCUGGAGAGUUUGACAGCAGCAUGCCCGGGAGGGAGCUGGGGCGGGAGGAGAGGCGCUUCCCCAGGAAGUGAUUAGCCAGGCAGACCUGUUGUCCUAUGGAGGCGCACGUUACCCGGCGGAUGUAAUUACCCAUUCGCUCUGUUAUUAGCUGGGGUAAGAGAUUGAGGCUCUCGCCCUGCUCCUGCAUUUCAAAGCUUACUCACACGCCCGCAUCCCUGAUAUUAAAGCACAAUGAGACUUUUUUGAAUUCAAUUAA
rnacentral:lncRNA from 1 species